AGUGCUAUGUGAUGCGCUCUCGACGAGUCGAGUUGUUUGGGAAUGCAGCUCAAAACGGGUGGUAAACUCCAUCUAAAGCUAAAUACAGGCGAGAGACCGAUAGCGAACAAGUACCGUGAGGGAAAGAUGAAAAGAACUUUGGAAAGAGAGUUAAACAGUACGUGAAAUUGCUGAAAGGGAAACGCUUGAUGUCAGUCGCGUUGGCUGGGGAUCAACCUUGCUUCUCGCUGGGUGUACUUCCCGGUCGACGGGUCAGCAUCAGUUUCGAUUGCUGUACAAGGAUGAGGGGAACGUGGCACUCCCCGGAGUGUGUUAUAGCCUUUCAUCGUAUGCAGCGGUUGGGACUGAGGAGCUCAGCACGGCUUCUCGCUUGUGCUCAGGAUGCUGGCAUAAUGGCCUUAAGCGACCCGUCUUGAAACACGGACCAAGGAGUCUAACAUGCCUGCGAGUGUUUGGGUGGUAAACCCGAGCGCGUAAUGAAAGUGAAAGUUGAGACCUCUGUCAUGGAGGGCAUCGACGCCCGGACCUGAGUCUUUGACGACGGAUCUGCGGUAGAGCAUGUAUGUUGGGACCCGAAAGAUGGUGAACUAUGCCUGAAUAGGGUGAAGCCAGAGGAAACUCUGGUGGAGGCUCGUAGCGAUUCUGACGUGCAAAUCGAUCGUCGAA
rnacentral:rRNA from 1 species